ensembl:lncRNA
UUGCAAGACCAAACUCAAUCGUAGAUUGCACGUUGGACUGGGGAAGCUGCUGUCAUUUUCUUCAGCACAAGAGGCUUUUCCACGGCCUGGUUCAACUGACUCUGUACGCGAUUGGCUGCUUGUCGUUGCUGCCCUGUCGUCAUUGUGUUAAACCAGCCAAUAGCGCGCCAGGAGGAAAAGCCAGCUUGGUGACUGGCUCCUGCAAAAAUGUUUUGAAAAGAAAGAAAUGUAUUACUCUUCUCCAGACCCUUCUGCAGGGCCAACUCAAAUUGCCGGCAGAAUGGCCAGGGCUACCCAGUCUAGGCGAGUGUAGGACUCUGAGAGACGGUCUCUCUACAGGUGAGGACUCUGAGUCACAGUCUCUCUACAGGUGAGUGUAGGACUCAGUCAUGGUCUCUCUACAGUGAGGACUCUGAGUCAGAGUCUCUCCACAGUGUAGGACUCUGAGAGACGGUCUCUCUACAGGUGAGGACUUUGAGUCACGGCCUCUCUACAGGUGAGGACUGAGGCACCGUCUCUCUACAGGCGAGUGUAGGACUGAGUCAUGGUCUCUCUACAGCGAGUGUAGGACUGAGUCAUAUGGUCUCUCUCCAGGUGAGGACUCUGAGUCACGGUCUCUCUACAGUGAGUGUAGGACUGAGUCAUGGUCUCUCUACAGAUGAGGACUCUGGGUCACGGUAUCUCCACAGGUGAGGACUCUCAGGGGGAGUGCGAUGGAAACUUGUUAUGCGUAAUGCUUGUUUACUGUGGGAAAUGAUUCAAGAGGGAGGACCAGGAGAGUGAUGACGGAGGGACAUGGGGUCGGGACCCGGGCCGGGUCGCUUCCCCGUCAUUUAAACAAUAAAAAGUUAUCAGGCGCUUUGAAGCUUUUACGGCGGCCUGACUAAUUAAGGCCUCUUCGUUAAUGUUUGGAACCUUUUUAAGGUACCCAUCACAUCCCCCCGUUCUCUCCCCUUCAUCUCAUUCGUUUAAACAUGAGUCUUUCUCGGUAUGGGCGUCCUCGCUCACCUCUGUCCUCUAUGUUAAUGGCUUGUCAAAUAGAAAGCACAUGAGGAUCUCUUUAAAAUCCAUGUUCACAUCCCACACACACACACACACACACAUGCACACAGACAUCUGUGGCGCAGUGGUAAUUAUCAGGAACGAGAGGGCGGGAUGGAGAGAGAGAGAGAGAGCAAGAGAAUGGAAUGAGGCGCUCCUCAGAUCUCCUUCCAAGUGCCUGGG